rnacentral:rRNA from 1 species
CCCUGUGGGAAGCAGGAGGGACCACCCUCCAAGGCUAAAUACUACCUAGUGACCGAUAGCGUAUAGUACCGUGAGGGAAAGGUGAAAAGAACCCCGGGAGGGGAGGGAAAUAGAACCUGAAACCCUGCACUUACAAGCUGUGGAAGCACAUUUCUUGUGUGACCGCGUACUUUUUGUAGAACGGGCCAACGAGUUACGUUAAGUAGCAAGGUUAAGCACUUAAGGUGUGGAGCCGUAGCGAAAGCGAGUUUUAACUGAGCGUUCAGUUACUUGACGUAGACCCGAAA